rnacentral:rRNA from 1 species
AUUGAACGCUGGCGGCAGGCCUAACACAUGCAAGUCGAGCGGCAGCGGGAAAGUAGCUUGCUACUUUUGCCGGCGAGCGGCGGACGGGUGAGUAAUGCCUGGGAAAUUGCCCAGUCGAGGGGGAUAACAGUUGGAAACGACUGCUAAUACCGCAUACGCCCUACGGGGGAAAACAGGGGACCUUCGGGCCUUGCGCGAUUGGAUAUGCCCAGGUGGGAUUAGCUAGUUGGUGAGGUAAUGGCUCACCAAGGCGACGAUCCCUAGCUGGUCUGAGAGGAGGAGCAGCCACACUGGAACUGAGACACGGUCCAGACUCCUACGGGAGGCAGCAGUGGGGAAUAUUGCACAAUGGGGGAAACCCUGAUGCAGCCAUGCCGCGUGUGUGAAGAAGGCCUUCGGGUUGUAAAGCACUUUCAGCGAGGAGGAAAGGUUGAUGCCUAAUACGUAUCAACUGUGACGUUACUUGCAGAAGAAGCACCGGCUAACUCCGUGCCAGCCGCCGCCGUAACAC